AGGUCUUCAGCCCCUUCUGAGUGGGACCGCGGAACUGUCCACCGAGUCGGCGAAAAUCAAAGAAGAAAUCACAAAGGAACUUAGAAAAGAUUUCAAAGUGCAUAAUAAAAAAGUACAACUUCCCCAAAGUAGUGGGAGGCAGCUCAAGAAGCGAUCGGAGGAAAACGUGCUGCUCUACAUGCUCACCUUAGGAAAGGAGAAGGAGGUGAAAUCAGUGCCCUGAUGGCCCAUUGAAGGAAGCUAGAAAGAGAAGAGCAGAGGGAACCCAAAGUGGCCCACUGAAGAGACGACAGCGCCCAGAGAGGAGGCCGAGGCCCACACUGCGACAGUCUGUGUACUCCCGUCCAGUCGCUUCUCC